UUGUUUCAAAGUUCAUCGUCUGAUCAUCGAUGCCCAGAGCUAAGAAACAAGAAAAAGAAAAUAUAAAGUCAACCCACUGGGACGGUUGGCCAGUUAAGAAGUGAGGAUUCAUGCUGCGUAGCAGUCAAUACAUUGGACACAUUUUUAGAAUAUUU
rfam:Peptostreptococcaceae bacterium CCRI-22567 contig-2, whole genome shotgun sequence.